rnacentral:rRNA from 1 species
CCGCCCGUCACACCAUGGGAGUCGUUUGCUCCAGAAGUGCCUACGCUAACUGCGCAAGCAGAGGCAGGGCCCCAAGGAGUGAACGGUAACUGGGGUG